GAUGAACGCUAGCGGGAGGCUUAACACAUGCAAGUCGAGGGGCAGCAUAGGGUAGCAAUACUCUGAUGGCGACCGGCAAACGGGUGAGUAACGCGUAUGCAACCUACCCUGUACAGGGGGAUAACCCGGAGAAAUUCGGACUAAUAUCCCGUAAUAAUAUCCGGAGGCAUCUUUGGAUAUUUAAAGUUCCGACGGUACGGGAUGGGCAUGCGUAACAUUAGCUGGUUGGUAAGGUAACGGCUUACCAAGGCUAUGAUGUUUAGGGGUCCUGAGAGGGUGGUCCCCCACACUGGUACUGAGACACGGACCAGACUCCUACGGGAGGCAGCAGUGAGGAAUAUUGGUCAAUGGGCGCAAGCCUGAACCAGCCAUCCCGCGUGCAGGAAGACGGCCCUAUGGGUUGUAAACUGCUUUUCCAGGGAGAGAACUUACGCACGUGUUGCGUGACUGACGGUACCUGGGAAUAAGCAUCGGCUAACUCCGUG
rnacentral:rRNA from 1 species